GUGCUCACUUCAGCAGCACAUAUACUAAAAUUGGAACGAUACAGACAAGAUUAGCAUGGCCCCUAAAAAAAAAAAAAAUGUCUAUGGAUACAACCAAGAUAUCUUU